UUUCAUAUGUUAUAGGAAAGAUUAGUGUUUAUAUUGCACAUGACAUUAUCUAAAUAUAUAAUACUUGUGGUGCUUGAUAGACCAAAGUAAACUUUAGUUUACAACGUGUCCUGGCUUUGGCAAUUCGCUAACUCCGCCUCUGGGCACUAUACAUUGUUCAAUGAAUCCUUCCUUUAAUUGCCGUGAAGUUUGUAGCAGACAGUUUGGGAGGACGAUUUAAGCAAGAGUUGUACGUGAUUCAGUCAUUCAGUGCACUCACGACAACCAGGAUGCAGUACCAUGCUACACGGUAGUCUCAAUUGACUUUGCAUUUUCAGCCAGAGGCACUAGUGGUACCUGAUCACAAGAAAGCUCUAGUCGCCUUGCCGAAAGACCUCUUCAACCCCAGUGGGAAGUCAACGGAAGUUAGUUGACACUCCCUUAGUCUAAAAUAUAAGGUGUAUUGAUUUAUUUUUUCAAAGACAAACAUGUGCAUGUCUGACCAAAUAUUUAGACAAAAACAUAUAUCUACAAUAUCAAAUAUAUACCAUUUGAUCCAUCAUGAAAAGUAUUUUUGUAUUUUACCUAGGAUCUAAUAACGCCCGAACGUUCAAUUUUUGACCAAACCAAAUCAAACGUUUUUUACGGCAAUUUUGGUGACACGAGGAUGACAAGUUUAAUUGACAUGCAUAGCAAAUCCAUACUCGGUGUAUUUUUUCAAGAAAAUUGUUGUGUGUGUCAACUAAACUUUUCAUCCAUGCGUCACUAAAAUUGCCAUCGAAAACAUUCAAUUUGCCAUGGUUAAAUCCCGAACGUUCAUGAUUUAUCAUUUCUGUUUAUCUAUUAUUAGGUAUUGCAGAUAUUAAUAUUUUAUUCUAUAUUCUUUGUAAAAACAUCCAAAUAUUUGAUUUUUACGAAAAAAUAUGCACCUUAUAUUCUAGGACUGAGGGAGUAGAUAGCAAUGGGCUUGACCGCGUGAGCACCAAUCUCACAAGGGUAUUCCUCCCGGCUGGAGUAGAAUUGCUUGCCUUGUCAAGGCCCAAGCUUGGCCAAGAAUUAGUCCGAGCCCCAGGAAUUACAACGGGAAACCCAGAAGGCAGAACGGACAGCGGGGAUGUCACAAGGAUGUCAUACAGAUCAAGGCCUAUCCAACGUGAAGAAACUUCUAUGCUACUUCAAAUCUCUUCAAGGAAGAUGGAGAAGCAUAGUGAAGUGCUACAAGAAAGAAAGAAAUAACAAACUACGAGUACUACUGUACUUGGUUACAAUGAUCAUAUAACAUAUCCCUAGUAUAUCAAUACUCCUUGUGCAAGGGACCUAUUAGGAACAUGUAUUUAGUUUUGCCUUGCACGCAAGUAUAAGAAGAUUCCCAGACCGGAAUAAAAUAAAACAAGCAUGAUCUUUAAUUUGGCAUUGCGUGACAUUUCAGGGGACAGUGACAAUACCAUGAUAAUGCAGAAGUCCAUGGCUCCAUGCUAAGGAUCGCUGGCACCAUGGCUAUCAGGGCAUUAUGCAGGCGGCCUAACCACUUGUGGCUUGUCCACCUCCCCUUCUUUUUUCUAACAAGUUGUCCACCUCUUCAAGUGGGCAAUAGCUACCAUAGCAUGUCAAAGACGGCAUAACAUAAACACACAAAAAGAAAAUAUAGCUCAAGCUUGCUAAAUGAUUAUCAUCGCUGCCCAGAGGAAGAAAAAUGUUUUAGCGAUGCCGGUUUUUUUUUCAAGAUCACCCCAGAGAGGGGCAGGGGUUUUAUAAGGAAAAUUGGACCCGAAAACCCAACAUUCUCGGCUAAUCAGGGAAAACCGAAUGAAAACCCACAAAGAAAGAAAAAAGAAAACGAGAAAAAGAGACACAAGAACUAGGGGAUAGGGACGAGACAAAAACUAAUGCUGACGCCGAUUCAAUCAAGGAUUAGCAUCUCAUAACCAGCUCAAUAGCAACAUCAUCAAGGUCCAUAAUAAACUAAUGCUCAGAAAACAAUGCCAAUAUGAAACAAAAGGACAAUCAUAAAUUGCAAAAAAUCAGAAAUAAAACCACGGGACAAACUAUUUUCCACCGUGCAUCUUACGUCAAUUUGGACUUCAAACUUCCUAAAAAGGACAACUUCAAAAUAGGAAAAAAAUCCCAUUACAGUCCUCUGUCUAGAAGCUGCCGCGACUGACUGAGAUAAGAUAGUCGUCAUAAAGAAAAAAUAACCUAUCCGCAUGUUAGACCAAGAAACUGAAGCAUGAGUUCAAAUUGGACUCUAUGAAAGGGCCUUCGCAGCAAGUGGGAAAUUAAUUACGACCACACGCAUACAUACAUGAUGAAAAGAGCAAGCAUAAAUGGAAGCAGUACCUUCGGCCAAACAACUCGCUGAACACCAAGAAAAAUGAACACAUUCCUCUUCCUUAUCAUUCUUCCAUUGCUCACCGCUCUGCCAUGCUCAUAUUCUCAGUCGACGCUAAGCACUGGCUCAUCCUUAUCUGUAGAAGAGCAUAGGCAGACCUUCCUUACCUCACCAAAUGAUGAUUUCUCUUGCGGCUUCCAUGAAGUUGGAGAGAAUGCAUUCACCUUCUCUAUCUGGUUCAGCACCACCAUGGAAAAGACUGUUGUAUGGUCUGCAAACCCCAGGUCCUUCGUGAAUGGCCAUGGUUCCAUGGUGUCUCUGAACCAUAAUGGAAACUUGGUCCUCACUGAUGUUAAUGGCACCGUAACUUGGGAGAGCAAGACAAGCUCUGGCAAGGGCACGGUGGCUUCUCUUCUUGACACUGGCAACCUCGUAAUCAAAGGCUCCACUGGUGCAAUUUUGUGGGAAAGCUUCUCUUCACCAACAGAUACAUUGCUGCCUUUGCAGAAUUUCACAAAAAAUACAAGGCUGGUCUCCAGUUAUUACAGCCUUUAUUUUGACAAUGACAAUGUGCUACGCCUCAUGUAUGACAGUCCAGAAAUAUCAAGUAUCUAUUGGCCAAGUGCAGACUACACAGUGCGUCAAAAUGGGCGGACUAGCUACAACAGCUCUAGGAUUGCAGUCCUCGACACUGAAGGAUUUUUCCUCUCAAGUGAUGGGCUGAAUGUCAAGGCUUCUGAUUGGGGUAAUGGAGUCAAGAGAAGGCUGACAAUUGGUUCUGAUGGAAACCUCAGAAUGUACAGUCUGAAUGUGUCAAAUGGGAGUUGGAUAGUAUCAUGGCAGGCUAUAGCAAAACUGUGUGAUGUGCAUGGGCUGUGUGGAAAAAAUGGGAUAUGUGAAUUCUUGCCAAGUUUCAGGUGUUCAUGUCCCCCAGGAUAUGAGAUGACCGAUCCGCAAAACUGGAACAAAGGUUGCAAGCCACAAUUCAGUAAAAGCUGCAGCAAAGCAGAAGAGUAUGACUUCAUCAAGCUCCCACAAACCGACUUUUAUGGCUUUGAUCUGACCAAUAAUGUGUCCUCACUUGAAGAAUGUAAAAAGACAUGCUUGAACAUUUGCUCCUGCUCAGCUCUCACGUACAAGGUGGGAUAUGGACUUUGCUACACCAAAGCUGUACUCUUCAAUGGUUACAGCUCCCCAAAUUUUCCUGGCGACAACUAUAUCAAACUACCCAAGAAUAUGAGCAUCUCCAGACAAUCUCGUCUUACAUGCAAUCCGGAUAUUCCAGUGAUUGUACAAGGAUCGGCAAGUAUGUAUGGAAUGGAUGAUGUCAACAAGAGUUAUACAAUUUAUUAUGUGUUUGCAGCAAUACUGGGAGCUCUAGUCUUGCUCUUUAUCGGUACAAGCUGGUCGUUUCUUUACAGCAAGCAAAACAUACCUAAGUCAAUGGAAGAAGGCUAUAGGACUGUAAUGAGCCAGUUCAGGAUGUUCAUCUAUAGGGAAUUAAGGGAAGCGACUGGAAAGUUCAAGGAAGAGAUUGGAAGAGGGGGCUCUGGAAUUGUUUACAGAGGCGUACUUGAAGAUAAGAGAGUUGUGGCAGUGAAGAACUUAACUAGCGUUUCACAUAGUGAGGAGGAAUUCUGGGCAGAAAUGAAUAUAAUCGGAAGGAUCAACCAUAUGAAUUUAGUACGGAUGUGGGGUUUUUGCUCUGAGGGUCAACACAAACUGCUGGUGUACGAGUAUGUGGAGAAUGAAUCACUUGACAAGUUUAUAUUUGGUAAUCUAAGUGCUGAGAGAUUACUGGCAUGGAGCCAACGAUUCAAAAUAGCACUAGGAACAGCAAGAGGCUUGGCGUACCUCCAUCAUGAGUGCCUUGAGUGGGUAAUCCAUUGUGAUAUAAAGCCAGAGAACAUACUCCUGACCCGAGACUUCGAAGCAAAGAUAGCAGACUUCGGACUAGCCAAACUCUCAAAGAGAGACAGUUCCAGUUUCAAUCUCACCCACAUGAGAGGAACAAUGGGCUACAUGGCGCCAGAGUGGGCACUGAAUUUGCCGAUCGAUGCAAAGGUUGAUGUAUACAGUUAUGGGGUUGUACUUCUCGAAAUUGUGACUGGAAAUAGGAUCUCAAGUGGGAUUACAGUGGAUGGGAAAGAGGUGGAGUUUAUACAGUUUGUGCAUGCAGUUAAAGAAUUGCUGGGGAGUGGAGAUGUCAAGGUUAUAGCUGAUGCUAGACUGAAUGGCCAUUUCAAUCCUGAGCAAGUGGCGGUAAUGAUGAAAUUGGCUCUAUCUUGUCUCGAAGAAAGAAACAGCAGACCUACAAUGAAUGAAAUUGUAAAAGCUCUACUGGCAUGUGAUGACGAAGACAAUCACCCAGCCUACUCACGGUGACCGGCAAUAAACAACAGUGUAUUAAUUGCAAGAAGAAGAAUUGGUCUAGUAUAUUGUUUGAUAUUUGAAAGUAAAAGAAAAUGUUGCUAGAGAAAAUGUCAGGUUGUGUAAAUCUUUCUGUAGAUGGAACACUAACUGCACUAUAUUGAAUGUUUUUUUUUAUAUGAACUCCUGCAUGAAACAUAGUGGGCUCAUUUGUGUAGUUUUUCCUUCAGAAGAAAAAAGAAUUUAGUCUGCUUACUGUUUGAUCUUUUAGAGCAUGUAACAACUUCCAAAGAUUCGUGCUGUUUUUUCAAAAAUUCGUUCUUCCAUUCGAGAUCCCUUAGGUGCAACCAUGAGAGACCGCGUGACUCUUAUUAGUAAAUAGCCAGUUAACAACUCACAACAUUCACUCAUGGAAAUCUUGUACAAAUAUACGAUACUGAUAAAUGUGACCGAUAUCUCAAAGGAAAUUUGCUAGCUAAAAUACUCGCACAAACCAUUUCAGCUAUUACUUUCUUGCUAAAUUAGCAGUGGAAUACUGACUUGAAUGGUCCAUCUAUCUAGUACUAUGGCAACACUACAUUUUGGCACAAAUUUAUGGUCGAAGUUUCAGCUGGUAACAUAAUCAAUAAAGUGAUCCAGUCAUCCUUGGACUACAUUAUUAGUCACGGUGGUAAAAAGUACAAAUCGAGCACCAGGGCCAAAUUAUUUUUCCCCGCAAAAUGGGAAAACUUUAGCACUUAUAACUGUAUCAGCUUAACUGGUCUUUCAGGACACUGUUCAAUUUCUGAAUGUCUACAAUCCUUGGGAGUAGCAAAAGUGACUGAUUUAGCUUCCUGUUCAGAAAGAGUGCAAAUGUGCACAUGUGUAUUGGGCCUUAGUGCUCUCGGGUCUCCAUGUCGAUGCAAUGAAUUACCAAGGUUGUACAUGUUAAAAGAACAAUCAGCAGACAGGAGAAAGGCACUAUUGAAAAUACGGAAAGGGUAUAUACCAUGGUGGGUUCUUCUUUCAGUCUAGAACAAAAUGAUGAAGAUUCUUGUAGCGUUGUAGUCGGACGGCCAUGGCAGCUGGGGUGAUACCGGGGGCAGGCCAGGGCGCGCAGGGCGGCGGGGGAGCCGUGAGGGAGAAAACCGGGACCUGAGCGCGGGGGACAGAGCCGACGGGCGGCCUGGUCGGGGCGCGCGGCGCGGAGGAGCGAGACGGCAGGGGCGUGGAACUGGGGAAGGCCGGGACCGGGAGCGCGGGGGCGGCGGAGGCGUGCACGAGUUUUUUUUGUUGUUGUUGUUCUGAGAACAACGAGCUGCGGAGCUGAAUCGGGUUACAUCGUGGAUGCGGUGCGUGCAUUUUAACUUUCGUUUUUUUUUUUUUUUUUUUUUGCGAUGAGCUUGGCCUGGAAUAGAAAGCUUUGUCGCCCCUGGUGAUGUUCGAUGAAUUGGGGCGCGGCUAUGCCUCGCUCGCUGCGAGGAGUGCAACUAGUUAAAUCAUCUCUAGAUUCUAAAAAAAAAAGUUAAAUCAUCUCUAGCAUCCUCAGCAUUUCCAUAAAAAUGCAAACUGUAAAAUUGAGAUACAGAUAAAAAAUGUAUUUUAAAGAUCUAUUUUAGCUAUGGCCGAAUAAAAACUGUAAAACAAAGUGUAAAUCUGGAAUAAAGAGCUCCUUCCUUCGGUCCGGCGGCUACUGCCCCUUCCUCCAGCCGGUUGUGCCGGCCAUGCCGGUCUCGUCCAACUCCGUCGGCCGCGCCCCGUCGCCCGUCGGUCAUGCCUCAUCGUCCAUCAGCUGCGCCCCAUCCCUGUCGGUCGCGCCCCAUCACCACGCGCAGUCGCGCCCAGCCUCGCCGGCCACGGCUUGUCGCCCACUGGCCAUGCCCCAUUCCCGACGACACUGUCCUGCUCUGUUGCCAGCCGUGUCGGCCGAGUCGUGCCCCUUUGUCGGCUGUGUCGGGAGGAUACCGAUAGCCAGGCUGAGGUCAUGGAAGGCCACGGCGAGGUCGAGCUCGUCCAAUUCGAAUCGGCGAUGAUCGAUUGCAGCGUCCAGCGCCCUUUUCCAGUGUGUGGUGAUGAAUUCUGACGAGUUUAGGGAGGAUUCCGGCAAACUCCACGGUGGCGUGUUUCCUCCGAUGAGAUUUGACCAGUAUACAGGGUCCCCUUGGUUCGGCCUUUCAAUCUUCAAAUAUAAGGGUUUCGGGUGUGGCUUUUUCAUGCUCCUUAAAAUAUUUACGGGUUGGACCACUUUUACGGUUUCUGUUCUCGAAUUUUUUUCGACCAAAACUGUAAAAUGCAAAUUUUUUUACGGAUUUGAUCAUUUAUAAGGGGUGUGCUAGAGAUGCUCUAAGUGGUCAAACCAAGAUUUUGGAAAAUGUUAACUCAACGUAUAAAAUUUGUUACUCACUUGAUCUAUAUUACAUGUCGCUCAGACGGAUGUAUCUAGACGUUUUUCAAUGCUAGAUACAUAUCCUUGAACGAUAAGAGGAGUACCAUAAUUUAAAAAGAAUGUUGAUAACAUUAAAAUAAAUGUUUGUAACCAAAAAAUGUUCAUGUGUGUCAAGAAAAUGUAUAUGAAAAUGUAAAAAAUGUUAAUUAUGUAUUUAAAAAAUGUUAAACAUGUACUUCCUCCGUUUUGUUUUUUUAGUUAAACUACCAAGAUGUCAUAUACUUAGGAACGGAAGGAGUAUAAAAAGGAAGUUCUUAUAUAUACGACAAAUAUACAACAUGUAUGAAAAUGUAGAUAUAAAACAUAUUUAAAAAUAUGCUAAUUAUGUAUUUCAAAAUACCAAAUCGGUAUGAAAAAUUACUUGUAUAUUUUUGCAUGGUAUGUUACUGAUGUAUAUGAAAAAUGUAAGGCAUACAGAUAAAAAUAGACAUCAAAAUAUAUAUUUGGAAAACUGUUAAGUAUGUAUUUGAAACAUCUUAAACGUGUAUAAAAUGUCCUGAUGUAUACCAAAAUGCAUAACAUAUGUUAAAAUGUAGACACUAAAACAUAUAUUGAAAGAAAUGUUAAUCAUGUAUUUAAAAUAUUAAAUGUGUGUUAAAAAUGUCCCGGAUGUAUACAAAAUAAGUAUAUUGUGCGUGAAAACAAUGGCAGGUGUUCAAAGAAAGGAAAAAUGCCUGAUGAAAAUCAAAAAGAAAAAAGAAACUGAGAAAAAUGAUAAUGAAACAAAGAAACCAAAGAAAAAAAGAAAAAAAAGAAAAAGGAAGAAAAGCUACAAACGAAAAAAAACAAAAACACAUAGAAACCCGCUCCAAGAAACCCCUAUUCGCCCGCCUAUCUCGACUGCGAGAUGGAGACAUAGCUCUUGCGGAUGAAUUGCCUCAAACUCAUUACAACUAACCUCGGAUAAAUCAAAGUAGAGACAACCCUGAGUCAUGGGUUGGCCCCACCGGGUUUGUCGAUGACGUGCUAAAUCAUGGAUGGCUAGAUGCACAAAUUGCUCGGAUCAAAAACGGGUCGUGCCAUACUGCUUGAGCCCGAGGCCGAUGACAACGAGUGUGCGGAAGUUUUGGGAGGAAAUGACUGAACUAUUCACGCACCUUUGUCCACACCCCCUAGGCAUGGGCCUUGUGGCCCACAUUUUACAACAUUUGAGUUCAUAUGCUUUGUGCAACAAAUGUUUUGGAGAAAAAUAUACCCCCUCUCAUCCCUUCAACUCGAUAGAAAUUCCCCUAAACUCCCAAGUCAGUUAAAUCACGCCAAAGUCUUUGAAAGCCUCACAAAUCUCUCCCUAGGUAGUUUUGAGUUUAAUGAUGAUGACUAGACUUGUUGAAUUGGCAAAAGUGCAAAAUGAACAUUAUUUCACCUAAUCGUAUCGUCGAUGCUUUUCUUUACUCAACCAUCCUCUUCGUGUGCAUGCAUCCUCCUGAGCUCCUCCUCGCACCCCCCAUUGCCAUCACCCUCCUACGUCUUCGUCGUCAUCGUGGUCCUCAUGCCAUCAAUGACAUGGCUCCAGGUACGUCAUUGUCCCGUGUUUCCUGCUCUCCUCCAGCAGCAUCGAUGAGAGGUUGAUAUAUCAAAAUCUGCUUUUUGGGUGUUUGGGUAUUUGGAUUUGGACUUGAUGCGCAGCCAUGUGUCGGUGUCAAAAUUGGCGAAUCUCGGGUUGGGGGUCCCGAACUGUGGAUCUUGAAUCGAUGGGCAACACGGAACACGGGAGACGAUAUUUACCCAUGUACGGGCCCUUUUGAAGGAGGUAAAACCCUAUGUCCUGCUUUUGUUUAUAUUAUUGGUGAAGUAUCGGAUACAGAGUUGAUCUACCUCGAGGUCGUAUGUAGUGGUCUAAAACUUUAGGAGUAAUGAUCUUAACGUGCACUACAGAAUAAAAGCCCUCUGGUUUAUAUAGAUACCAAAGGCACUAGGGUUACACAAUGUUGGUUACACCAAAGAGAAAACACACCGACCAUCAUCUUGCCUUGGAGCGUACACCAAGUCUUCAGAAGAAUCCGUUGUAGAUACAACAUCGCAUGAUAAUUUGGCCUACAGUGAUAAUCAUAGGGCAACCCAUGAGUUCGGCCCAUGAAAAUAGGUCAACGGCCCGAGGAUCCCUUAUUCCCGGACUCCCUCAGUAGCCCCCGAACUGGCCUCCAAUGUCGUAGCCUGGAUUUCUAGUUGCUUCUCGUGCCCAAAGUCUUCGGCUUGCGGGCCAAGUUCCUUCCCCACUUAUACCUGGCCGGUAAUAUUCUGGUAACCAAUGACUUCCUUGUUUCCGAACAGUAUAUGCGACGUAGCCUCGAAGACCAACCAUUUGAUCGUGAAUAGCAUUUUUGUCAGACAACUUCUUUGUGAAAGGUCGCGAGUUCGCGACUGAACAUGACCACUGACCAAUUACAAAAACAUGGUUCGAGGUAGUUUUCUCGGGAAGACCUGACCGGGAGCGCGGGGGCGGCGACGUGCACGAGCUACGAAGUUUUUCUUUUCUUUUUUGUUUUGAGAACAACGAGCUGCGGCGCUGAAUCAGGUUACUUCAUGGAUGCGGUGCGUGCAUUUAUUUUUUUAUUUUUUUGCGAUGAGCUUAGCGUGGAGUAGAAAGCUUUGCCGCCCUGGGGCACGGCUAUGUCUCGCUCGCUGCGAGACAGUAGUUCGGAUCGCCUCAGUGAGCCGGUUAAUGCGCCGGCCCAGUAACCUUCCGCGACGCUGAUGUCAUGUGACAUCAUGCACAUGUAUACAGUUUUUUAUUUUUAAAAUUUAAAUUAUGUUCCUGAUUAAAAUUUCAAAAUGUGAAUAUAUUUUGUAUACAUUAUUCAAAAGCUAAAAUUUUAUUAAAAAAUAAAACCCAAGAGUUUGAAAAAUGUUAACUCAAUGUACAAAAUUUGUUAGUCACUUGAUAUAUAUUACUUGUCGCUCAGAUGAAUUUAUCUAGACGUAUUUCAAUGCUAGAUACAUCUCUUUGAGCGAUAAGUCAUAUGGAUCGAAACGAGUACCAUAAUUUAAAAGAAUGUUGAUAGCUUUAAAUAAAUUUUUGUAACCAAAAAAUGUUCACGUGUUUCAAGAAAAUGUAUGUGAAAAUUUAAAAAUAUGUUAAUUAUGUAUUUGAAAAAUGUUAAACAUGUACUUCCUCAGCUUUGGUAGUUCAGUUAAACUACCAAAAUGUCAUCUAUUUAGGAAUGGAGGGAGUAUAAAAUAGUUCUUAUAUAUAAUACAAAUGUACAACAUGUAUGAAAAAUGUGGAAAUUAAAACAUAUUUAAAAAUAUGUUAAUUAUUUAUUUAACAAUAUUAAAUCGGUAUAAAAGUUAUUACUUACAUAUUUUCGCUGUGUAUGUUACCAAUGUAUAUGAAAAUUGUAAGACAUGGAAAAAAUAGACAUCAAAAUAUAUAUUUGGAAAAAUGUUAAGUGUGUAUUUCAAAUAUGUUAAACGUUUAUAAAAUGUCCCGAUGUAUUAAAAAAUGCACAACAUAUGUUAAAAAUGUAGACACUAGAACAUAUAUUGAAAGAAAUGUUAAUCAUGUAUUUAAAAUAUUAAAUGUGUGUUAAAAAUGUCUUUCAUGUACUCCCUCCGUUCCUAAAUAUAAGAUGUAUUAUUUUUUUUAAAAGUCAAACUUCUCUAACUUUUAUCAGACUUAUAGACAAAAAUAUCAAGGUCUAGAAUAUCAAAUCACUAUCACUAGAUUUAUCAUGAAAUAUAUUUUCAUAUUAUAUAUAUAUAUAUAUAAUAUUGUAAAUCAUUAUAUAUUUUGCUAUAAAGUUGGUCAAACAUAAACAAGGUUUGACUUUUUUAAAAACCAAUACACCUUAUAUU
rnacentral:lncRNA from 1 species